GUCAGGCCGAUUGGUCGGCGUCCAGGCGGUUUGGUGAAUGUCCGAGCCUUUGAACCCUCGAUCGGGAACCGGGAUCACGAACGACGAACACGCCCCCUCGUCGGGGAAGUUCCGGAAUCGCUGCAAUGGUACCCACCUUGAAUCGGGGUUCGGACAUUCCAGAUCGACUGGUGCCGACCAAUCGGCUUGACC
rnacentral:other from 1 species